rnacentral:rRNA from 1 species
CGACCUUGAAAUACCACCCUUUAAUGUUUGAUGUUCUAACGUGGACCCGUGAUCCGGGUUGCGGACAGUGUCUGGUGGGUAGUUUGACUGGGGCGGUCUCCUCCUAAAGAGUAACGGAGGAGCACGAAGGUUGGCUAAUCCUGGUCGGACAUCAGGAGGUUAGUGCAAUGGCAUAAGCCAGCUUGACUGCGAGCGUGACGGCGCGAGCAGGUGCGAAAGCAGGUCAUAGUGAUCCGGUGGUUCUGAAUGGAAGGGCCAUCGCUCAACGGAUAAAAGGUACUCCGGGGAUAACAGGCUGAUACCGCCCAAGAGUUCAUAUCGACGGCGGUGUUUGGCACCUCGAUGUCGGCUCAUCACAUCCUGGGGCUGAAGUAGGUCCCAAGGGUAUGGCUGUUCGCCAUUUAAAGUGGUACGCGAGCUGGGUUUAGAACGUCGUGAGACAGUUCGGUCCCUAUCUGCCGUGGGCGCUGGAGAACUGAGGGGGGCUGCUCCUAGUACGAGAGGACCGGAGUGGACGCAUCACUGGUGUUCGGGUUGUCAUGCCAAUGGCACUGCCCGGUAGCUAAAUGCGGAAGAGAUAAGUGCUGAAAGCAUCUAAGCACGAAACUUGCCCCGAGAUGAGUUCUCCCUGAGACUUUAGGUCUCCUGAAGGAACGUUGAAGACGACGACGUUGAUAGGCCGGGUGUGUAAGCGCAGCGAUGCGUUGAGCUAACCGGUACUAAUGAACCGUGAGGCUUAACCUUACAACGCCGAAGCUGUU